ACGAGUGGCGGACGGGUGAGUAACACGUGGGUAACCUGCCCUUAAGUGGGGGAUAACAUUUGGAAACAGAUGCUAAUACCGCAUAGAUCCAAGAACCGCAUGGUUCUUGGCUGAAAGAUGGCGUAAGCUAUCGCUUUUGGAUGGACCCGCGGCGUAUUAGCUAGUUGGUGAGGUAACGGCUCACCAAGGCGAUGAUACGUAGCCGAACUGAGAGGUUGAUCGGCCACAUUGGGACUGAGACACGGCCCAAACUCCUACGGGAGGCAGCAGUAGGGAAUCUUCCACAAUGGACGCAAGUCUGAUGGAGCAACGCCGCGUGAGUGAAGAAGGCUUUCGGGUCGUAAAACUCUGUUGUUGGAGAAGAAUGGUCGGCAGAGUAACUGUUGUCGGCGUGACGGUAUCCAACCAGAAAGCCACGGCUAACUACGUGCCAGCAGCCGCGGUAAUACGUAGGUGGCAAGCGUUAUCCGGAUUUAUUGGGCGUAAAGCGAGCGCAGGCGGUUUUUUAAGUCUGAUGUGAAAGCCCUCGGCUUAACCGAGGAAGCGCAUCGGAAACUGGGAAACUUGAGUGCAGAAGAGGACAGUGGAACUCCAUGUGUAGCGGUGAAAUGCGUAGAUAUAUGGAAGAACACCAGUGGCGAAGGCGGCUGUCUGGUCUGUAACUGACGCUGAGGCUCGAAAGCAUGGGUAGCGAACAGGAUUAGAUACCCUGGUAGUCCAUGCCGUAAACGAUGAAUGCUAGGUGUUGGAGGGUUUCCGCCCUUCAGUGCCGCAGCUAACGCAUUAAGCAUUCCGCCUGGGGAGUACGACCGCAAGGUUGAAACUCAAAGGAAUUGACGGGGGCCCGCACAAGCGGUGGAGCAUGUGGUUUAAUUCGAAGCAACGCGAAGAACCUUACCAGGUCUUGACAUCUUUUGAUCACCUGAGAGAUCAGGUUUCCCCUUCGGGGGCAAAAUGACAGGUGGUGCAUGGUUGUCGUCAGCUCGUGUCGUGAGAUGUUGGGUUAAGUCCCGCAACGAGCGCAACCCUUAUGACUAGUUGCCAGCAUUUAGUUGGGCACUCUAGUAAGACUGCCGGUGACAAACCGGAGGAAGGUGGGGAUGACGUCAAAUCAUCAUGCCCCUUAUGACCUGGGCUACACACGUGCUACAAUGGAUGGUACAACGAGUUGCGAGACCGCGAGGUCAAGCUAAUCUCUUAAAGCCAUUCUCAGUUCGGACUGUAGGCUGCAACUCGCCUACACGAAGUCGGAAUCGCUAGUAAUCGCGGAUCAGCA
rnacentral:rRNA from 1 species